UUAGCCCAUACGUGCUGCCACAGUCAACUGCUCCACCCAUUGGGAAUCUAAAUGAGCCUCUCGGUAACCUGAACAAGGUAGCCCUGGUGCACUGCUGCGGCCAAUUGCUUCAUCUGUUGGGAGCUGAGCAAACAGCUCAGGGAGCAUGAGACUCCGGACUAGCUCACCAAAUAUUGUAACCAAACUCAGGUUCGGGACACUUGACACCUGAACAACCAAUGCUCAAGAGACAAGUGUUGGUAAGAAGGAAAGUUAGCUUUAUUAGGGAAGCAGGCAAGUUGGGAAAUUAGUGACCUUGUUUCAAGACUACCUCUCUGAAUUGUAGCUCUGGACCAAGAGUUUUUACGGGAAAUCAGGAUAAGUGUAAGUCAUAAUCAGAGUGUCCUUGUGGAGGAGCUACGUGUGCAAUCUCAGGCAGGCAGUCAGUCCUUGCUGUCUUGGUCUAUGUCUUGGGACCUUUGCUGGCAUUGUUAGGCUGUUUUUAUCUAGUUGUGGCUAAAACUGCUGGUCAGUCUGUUGCCGGAAUUUCUGGGAUUCAAAAUGGAGUCAGUGCUGUUACAAUAAGAUCUUCUACUCAAUAAAGAAGCAAAAGUACUCACAGCAGAGUGGGAAAAAAAAGGAAAAAAAUUGCAUAUGGUUUACUUCAUGUUUCAGCAGAUUGCUGUGAGAAGGAGCCAUGUAACAACUGGCUGGCAGUGGAUAGAGGAAGAAAAAACAUCAUCAAGUUGUUGUGAUAGGAGUGGAUGAAUAGUGACCAACAUGACACCUGGAAAUCAGUAUCUAUGGAAUCCUGUAGAAGAUACCUGAAAUAUGCUUACAUUCACAAACCAGUACAACCUAAACUUGCUGGUCAGUAUCAUGUGGUCAAAGGAUCUGUCACUGGCAAUAUGCGGUACAUGAUCAAAGUUUACUUCUGCUGCAAAGAAUUGAAGAACGGUACUGUAAUUUUAAUUGAUGUAUGGCAUGUAAAACAUUGCUUUGCUUUCUGCUACAUGUGUGUUAUAACCAAAAGGUUAUAAUUUUAUUGUCAAAAUUAAAUGUAAUUCAGACUUAUGUACAGCAUGAACCAUAGAAUGAGUGAAUAUUUCUGGAAGCUUAUUUAAAGCCUCUAAUUAAUGUAAUACUUAUGAAGAGUUACUGGCUAGAAAAAGACAUUUGGCUUUUAAAAUACCACAUGCCCUAUUAUAAUCUUACAAAUAUUCAAAUGCCUAUGAAUAAAAACAAAAAAAAUUGAGCUAGAAAUACACAAUUAAAAGGCCUUAGAAGGAACACAGUUAUUAAUAAAAAUAUUACAGCAAUAACUCCUGAACCCCAUUUUAUGUUUCAAGUCCAGAUGGUCAUUGAGGUGUGAAGUAUCUUUUUUUGAAUAAAAUUUUGAGGAAAUUUUAAGACACAUUAAAAACACAACCAAGACAUAUGUGUCAAAGAGAUACUGACAGAGCUUAGAAAGUGUCUCCAGAAGAAAAGAGUUAUCCAGAGACCUAUAAUCCAUUCCGAUCAAAUCUCCUGAAAGAUAUGCUAGUAAAAGAGAUUUAAUAAAUAUACUAUUUACUAAUAGAAUGUAGAUUAUUUGACUAGAAGUUCUUAUGACAAACUUGUAAUCCAUAGAUUUUGGAGACAAGGGAAUAUAGCUUCCUGUAACAUGUCAUGAAAGCUUUGGUAUGUAAAAUAAGCUUUUUUCUUGAUGAAAAUGGCUUUCUUUUAUGUAAACAAUAAUAACAUCUAGCACUUAGGAAACUCAUAUAUCAUAUACAGCUGGACAUCACUGUUUCCUAAUGAGGCUGGAAGGAAAAUAGGAAAAAAUAUCUGUAGCUCUAGACUUGCCAUUUCACCUGUGCUUCACAACUACUUCUACUUUGAAAGUAAUAUUAAAGUUUGAUAUUGGGUAAGAUCUGAGAUUCCUGUAUCUGACUUGAUGAUAUGAUAUUUUCUGUUAUCUCAAUAUACAUACAUCUCAAUGUAUAAUUUUUUGAAAGGCAUACACGUUACCUGAAUGAUACAAGUUUCCAUUGGAGUUUUGUUUCAUUGUGUUUUGUUUUUUAUCAAGGGAAAAUAAAGAGGGAGAAAUAAACUGUCAUUACUCAAGGAGAGCAUGCACAAUACAACUUUCCAGCUCUAAUUCCAAAGUUUGAUUUCUCUUAUUUGAAGCUCGUGAUAUUUUGUUUGCUCAAAAAUGGGAAGGAUGGGGUGGUUAACAGACUUCUUGUUGGAAUUAUUUAACAGACUUAUGUAAUUUCCUGAGUCUGUUUUCUUUUCCAUGUUUCAAUUGUGUGAUGGGAAAGUGAGUCAUUUUUCUAAGGACUAAAAUACAAUAUAAGAAUAAACUUUAUAAACCCAAAGAGUUUGAAGACAAGAAUAUCUGACCAAAAAUAGACACAUUUCCCCUUCAUUGUUGUCAUCUGCAAACACCCAAGACAUUUUUCUACUUAUGAGGUUCUUGAGUCUUGGUUCACACUAUUUCUUUCUAUCCCUUUUCCUCCAUGAGAUCCAUAUCCAUAUGGAAAAUUUGCCCAUAAUUCUGGUCUCCAAAUUUGUGUAGCCCAUCAACAAAAUUAUACUUUAUUUUCCACCUUUAUCCCCCAAUCUCAUAGACAAACUUUUCAACCUGUCAGUAUAAUAAAUAGCAUAAUUUCUGAAAUAUCUAAUUCAAGUAUCCUGUGAUUUGAAACACCCUCCUAUAUUUCUUGUUCACUUAAGUGGUAACACUUUCAAAAUCUCUAUCAUUCCAAGACACUAAAAGUUUUAAAAGAAAAUGGUGCUUUCAUAGAUUUGGUGCUAAAACUCACUUUGUGGUAAAACCUGACAUGAUUGACUUCAUUCAUCACGUUUUUAUGGUCAUUAUUUUUCUUAUUUGAUGUGACUAUGCAUUUGUUCAGAGCAGAAAAAGAAUCAUAUUUAAUUAGCAGGUUCUUCUCCAAUCCUUCUUGGAGAUGUUCCAUAAAAAACUUAAUUAUUUAAGUCUAAAUCAUGCUGAAUUAUGAAACAAAUUUGGUUCCAAGGAUUUCAGACAAGUGAUUGUAUACCAGGAAUACAAUAUUUAUUUGAACUCGCCAAGACUUAAAAUCCUGCGUUCAGCUACUUUUUAUCUUAUUAUCACCAUACAUCAUCUUUCAUGCCUCCUGUUUAGAAUAACAAGUCCAUCAUUACAAGAAAAAGUUGCAAACACAAGGAAUGUUUUCUUCUCUUAUUAACAAAACAAAACAGAUAACUUGUCUGUGUUUUUCCUGGGUGCAUCUCUGCAGUUGAAAUAUCAUGACCACCAGUCCUCUUUAAAUUCAUCUCAAGAGAGGAAACCACAGACACUCAGCUUGCCUUCUAGCAAUGGUAAAUUCCUUAAGCUAAGUGUUUCCUAAUUGCUUUAUUCUCCUUUGAACUCACUCAGUUUCUCUCCUGUUGCUCAUGAUGGAUAAUCAGAUGUGCUUACCUCCACCGAUUUAUUAUCCAGCCAAUUGAAAGGCUCAAAUAGAAAAUGUCAUGCUUCUCCCCGACCAAACCAUGAAUUUUGUCUUCAGUUCCUCACUCUCAUUCAAUUUCAAUUUUUUAACAAUGCAUAAUAACCUGAAAUUCUCCUACUUACUUGUUAAUUUGACUGUUGUCUGUCUUCAUUACAGCUGGAUUAGAAACUACAAUAAAGAAAAAAAAAAAAAAAGUUUCAGCCUUAUUCCUUCUGAAGUUUCCAGGUCUAGAAUAGUUCUUGUAACAGAGUAGGUGCUUAAUUUAAUAAUAUAAUUUAACCUUAAAAUCCUGUUUUAUUACAAUCUACUUAAAGUGGACUCCUAGUUGUGGGUGAAUGAGUCUAAUUUAAAAUAAAGAGAUAAAGUUUCUUUUUUUUUUUCUGUGCCAACAAUCUUAAAAUACAAAUUUAAAACUGUGCCUUCAGUUUUGCUUCUCCUUAAAUACAAAAUUGGCGCUUGAUAAAAUAAGUUAUAUUUACUUUUCUUGGAAGCAUUUCCGUUUGAAUUAUGUUGAAUUACCUGAAUCAACAGAGCAUUUUCAAGAUAUAAAAAUUUUAAAAAAUUAGAUGUAUUUCUCAUUGCCAGAUUAAAAUUCUCUUUAUUACUUUAACACUUUAUGAGCUUGUCAGGUAUAGAAUUUGGUUCUAUCUGAUCUGAAAGUUAAUUACUGUUUAUGUGAGAAAGUUGAUUCACCUAAUAUUUCUUUGCACAAAUUUGCUAGUUUUAGAUUCGAGACUUCAAGUGUAAAAAUAAAGUCGUUAAGUACAUUAAGGACAAUAUGUUUUUCAAGGGUCCUUCCAGAUGCUUGUUUUUGUGAUUAUAUUCGUUAAAGAAGAAAGGAAAGAAACAAGAGAAGAAGAAAAAAAUGAGAAGAAAGAGGAGAAAGAAAAGAAGAGUGAGCAGGAGGAAAGACGAAGUAGGUGCUAGAGAAACUAAAGGUGCAUAGUCUCCAGCAUUAGCUUGUGUACUGUAACACCACAAUCAUGAAGUUUUAUCUCAUAGCCUCUUUAUAUACUGCUGUUGGAAUAUAUGAGCCUUUAAACACAUUUUAGAAGGUUUUGUUAGCUCCCUAGAUGCUGAAUUAAGGGCCGGCACAAUUUUGCAUUGCAUAAAACUGCCACCCAGGGCUCCAGAUCCUUCUUUUAGUGUCCUUUUCCUCAGUCAGUGUCUCACAUUUCCUGCUUAUUCCCUCUCUCCCAGUACUUGACUGUGCUUAUUACUGAUUCACACUUUAGAUUCAAAGUGGUUUUUUUUCCCAUUCUCUUAACAAAACUGUGCUUUUCUCAAUAACUGUAAGCCUUAUACUAAGAUAAAGCCUCGGAGUAAAGUUGUUCUAAUUUCUUUGACCAAGCCUGGGGAAAUGGAAGGAGAAAAUAGAAAAUUCAAAAGUUGCUCCCCCCCACCGCCCGAUAUAACCAGUUUCUUGACCAAAAAAAUAGCAAGGUUGGGAAUUCAUAUUUUUGCAUAAGAAGCUAUCAUGCAAUCAGGGAUCAUAUAGAAAGUAAGCCGUUACAACACAGAAUCGUAUCUAUUUCUUGGAACAAGAAAUAGAAGAAACUGUAAAAGGGCACUGCAGAUGGUCCCUUGUCAAUUUCUAGCUACCAACAACCACGGCAGCAAUUAUAACAUUUAAAAUAGUGAUUCCUUAUAAUUUACUCUAUCAUAGUAGUCUCCCCUGGAAGCAC
rnacentral:lncRNA from 1 species